rnacentral:rRNA from 1 species
AGUGGCGGACGGGUGAGUAACGCGUGAGAAUCUGCCUUGGGGUCGGGGACAACCACUGGAAACGGUGGCUAAUACCGGAUAAGCCGAUUGGUGAAAGAUUUAUUGCCCGAAGAGGAGCUCGCGUCUGAUUAGCUAGUUGGUGAGGUAAGAGCUCACCAAGGCAGCGAUCAGUAGCUGGUCUGAGAGGACGAUCAGCCACACUGGGACUGAGACACGGCCCAGACUCCUACGGGAGGCAGCAGUGGGGAAUUUUCCGCAAUGGGCGAAAGCCUGACGGAGCAAGACCGCGUGAGGGAGGAAGGCUCUUGGGUUGUAAACCUCUUUUCUCAGGGAAGAAGCUCUGACGGUACCUGAGGAAUCAGCCUCGGCUAACUCCGUGCCAGCAGCCGCGGUAAUACGGAGGAGGCAAGCGUUAUCCGGAAUUAUUGGGCGUAAAGCGUCCGCAGGUGGCGAUUCAAGUCUGCUGUCAAAGCACGGGGCUUAACUCCGUAAAGGCAGUGGAAACUGAAUAGCUAGAGUGCCGUAGGGGUAGAGGGAAUUCCCGGUGUAGCGGUGAAAUGCGUAGAGAUCGGGAAGAACAUCGGUGGCGAAAGCGCUCUACUGGACGGCAACUGACACUCAGGGACGAAAACUAGGGGAGCGAAUGGGAUUAGAUACCCC